rnacentral:rRNA from 1 species
CCCUUAGAUGUUCGGGGCCGCACGCGCGCUACACUGAAGGAAUCAGCACGUCUUUCACCUUGUCCGAAAGGACUGGGUAACCCGCUGAACCUCCUUCGUGCUAGGGAUUGGGGCUUGUAAUUCUUCCCCAUGAACGAGGAAUUCCCAGUAAGCGCGAGUCAUAAGCUCGCGUUGAUUACGUCCCUGCCCUUUGUACACACCGCCCGUCGCUACUACCGAUUGGAUGGUUUAGUGAGAUCCUCGGAUUGGUCCCGGCGCGGCCUCUGGUCGUGCCGGAGUGCCGAAAAGAAUGUCGAACUUGAUCAUCUAGAGGAAGUAAAAGUCGUAACA